rnacentral:rRNA from 1 species
UACGGAGGGUGCAAGCGUUAUCCGGAUUCACUGGGUUUAAAGGGUGCGUAGGCGGGUAUAUAAGUCAGUGGUGAAAGCUCCGGGCUUAACUUGGAAACUGCCAUUGAUACUAUAGGUCUUGAAUUAUCUGGAGGUAAGCGGAAUAUGUCAUGUAGCGGUGAAAUGCUUAGAUAUGACAUAGAACACCAAUUGCGAAGGCAGCUUACUACGGAUACAUUGACACUGAGGCACGAAAGCGUGGGGAUCAAACAGG